CUAGAUCGAGCAGGAGACUCCCAUGGAGCCUCAAACCCUAAAUCGCCUUUAAGCUCAAAUUGGAAGGAAAGAUGAAGCUGAAAUCCAUAACCGAGCAUGGAUUAAUGAUCACCAACACGAGGGGAUCAUAAGUAUAGGAAUCACGUCGAGACGGACUCAAGCAUGAGGUGUUAACGGGUCAAGAAGAAGCAAGGAAUCGGAUACGAGCACGAGCGCAUAAGGUUGUACGAAUCACGGAUUAACCUCACAAGGAGUAGCGAUCGAAGACCGAGUCACAAGAUAGAUUGUACGGGAAUGUUUACAUAUGUAAUUUAGUGAUGAUAAGUUAUGUUUUUAUAUUUUAAAGUGGACUUUCAAGUAAGACAAAACGUUAAUAAAGAGUGAAAUUUUAGGGUACGUAUUUCCGCUGUGUCUUUUAGGUUAAAACGUGUUAGGGCGUUACAAGUUGGUAUCAGAGCCCUGGUUUGAGAGAAUCAAGUACAAGAGAGUAAGUACUUGAACUCAAACUUGUGUGCUCUUAUGAUAAGGAACCCGUACAAUCCAUGACUCGAUCAAGAUCUAAAGGUAGAAAUUGAAUGAAAGCGUGUAUGUAUGCACUCAUAUGAAGAAGCUAAUGGUUUUGUAUGUGCCAGGUAAGCUUAAAAGUUUGAAGAGGAUGAUCCGUGAAUGCAGUCUAAAAUGGACGCUAAGGCAGGCAAUGAUGCGAAUGGAUUGACGGACCCCAGGUACACAAUGUUAAUAUGUAUGGGUACCGUUGUUAAAAGAAAAAGGAAGAAAUCUCCUUGGGAGGGUAAGUACUAAACGGAAGACAAUGAUAUUGUCUUGAUAAGAUUGUAAAAAAAAAAGUAGCACGAACUGAGACCCACUACUGUAGACAUGAGGCGAUGAUUACCUGAAGGCACGAAAUUAGUAUGUGAAUUGCGCACCUGGCCAGUACGCAAGAAACAUAUGACGUUCGUGAGACCGUGGUAAUUAUCGCAGGUAUGUCCGUUAGAACUGGGUAGCAGGUGGGCGUGCGGGUGAAAUGGGUCGUAAGACUCUCGGGAAAUUGAGAGUACUAUGUAGGAAUGAAAUGUAUGAGUGAUAAAAAUGAAGAAUGUUGAAUCCGUAAGAAAGUACGGAUCAACACGAUAUGAAUGACAUGUUUGAAUCCGCUAGACGGAUUCAAGAAAGAAAUGUAUGAAUGAAAUGAUUGAAUUCGCGAGACGGAUUCAAGGAAGGAAAGGUAUGAAGGAAAUGUUUGAAUCCGAGAGACGGGUUCAAAGAAUGAAAAGUGUGAAUGCAAUGUUUGAAUCCGCAAGACGGAUUCAAGGGAUGAAAGGCAUGAAUGGAAUGUUUGAAUCCGUAAGACGGAUUCAAGGAAUGAAAUGCAGAAAAUGACAUGUUUGAAUCUGUGAGACAGAUUCAUCACAUGUAAUGAAUGAAAGAUGUGAAUGGAUGAUGUAAAUGAAAUGUUUGAAUCCGCGAGAAGGAUUCAAAGCAUAGAAGGAAGAAAAUGUAUGAAUGGUAUAUUUGGAACCGCUAGACGGAUUCAAAACAUGGAAGCAAUGAAAGGUAUGAAUGUGACGUUUGAGUCCGUGGGACGGAUUUAAAAUAUAAAAAGGAUGAAAUUAGUUCACAUCACAAUGUGUUGAUAGUUUGACCGUGGUUGUGUCAAAUGGGUCAUAUGGGUAAAUGUAAAAUAAAUAAACAAAAGAAUGAUCGUAAUGGACAUGCAAACCUAAGUUGUAAAACGAAAGAAAGAAGUCUUAAACCAGUUAUGUGUUAAAUGUGUUAGUAAUCGACUCUUAUGAGUCAUAGUGAAUGACAGGCUACGACCCGGACAAUGAUUUAAGUACGCACAAGAAGGGUAAGUUUUGUUAAGAAUACCGAAAUGAUGUAAUGAAUGUCUUUGCAAGUAAGCAUGAAUGGAAAGAAGUACGAAGAGUACCUCAAUGCAUCUAUGCUAAGUAAGAAAUGACAGUCUGACCUGAAAAGGUCAAACUGCAAAGGUUGAUGAAAUGAGCAACCAGAAUAAAAGAAUCGCAUGUAAGGAAUGAAAUGCGGAAUGUGUUAAAAUUUGUACGUAGGACGUUGAAAAAAAAAG